UUUAUGGAGAGUUUGAUCCUGGCUCAGGAUGAACGCUGGCGGCGUGCCUAAUACAUGCAAGUCGAGCGAACGGAUGAGAAGCUUGCUUCUCUGAUGUUAGCGGCGGACGGGUGAGUAACACGUGGAUAACCUACCUAUAAGACUGGGAUAACUUCGGGAAACCGGAGCUAAUACCGGAUAAUAUUUUGAGCCGCAUGGUUCAAAAGUGAAAGACGGUCUUGCUGUCACUUAUAGAUGGAUCCGCGCUGCAUUAGCUAGUU
rnacentral:rRNA from 1 species